ACAGUUGGAGUCGCUACGUAAUGCACAGAGAGUUCGUUCAUUCUGCCCCAUGAAAACCUGUUGCAAUGUUUUUUUUUUUUGGAAUCCAGAUGAGAUUGCGAUGGAAAAGAAAAUAAUAAUUAGCGGCACCCAGUAAAUCUGAGAUUAUAGGCCGCAGCGGGGAUGUAGGGCAAAACAGGCUUGCUGACAUCCACAUAAUAAGUAAAAAUAAUUCGAUUUUGAAAGGUUCGUGUAGACGAAUGAUUCGCUUUGUCAUCAUCGGAUAGAGCCAACUCACAGCCGGAUAGAAAUAGAAAAACAAAAAACAAGGACAGUUGAACAAAAGCAGCAGACAGAAGAAAGAAGAAAAAAAGGCAAAAUAAAACAGUCAUCAAUUUAAGAAAAGUUUUUGUUUUUAUUUGUUUUAAAUACCAGGACGGCUCUCUCUCUCUCUCUCUCUCUUUACAAGAGCCAAGAAGUUUUUUUUUUUUCUUUUUGCUUUUUGUGGUAUUUAAUACCCACAGUUUCCACAUAAACAACAAAUAAUCUGUCAGACAGUUGGGUCUACGUCCGGCAUGUCUUUUUAUUUUGUUUUU